GUUCACGUGUGUUCAUUUCGCAGGGACUUCAGGAUCAUCAAGUUGCUAGCUACUGAUCCGCUUUUACUCCCCUAGCUCAUUUAUUACCCUACUAUAGGUAAUCUAAGUAAUAGCACCAUCAGUAUGCAUGCUUCAACCACGAAUGUAAACAAUCUAGAAUAAUUUAAGGUAGUAGAUAAACUAUUGGAUGUUCAACUUAUUUGCAUUUUGACUACGUAUGUCAAUUUGUACUUACUAUGUGAACUCCUCCUUUGCAGUCCAUUUUCGAUAGAGUUCAAGGUCAGCAUCGUAAUUACUUUCCUGUCGGAUCAAUCUAAGAAACACAAGAAAGUCGCCGACCCAAAAGCUCCAAAAUCAUGGGUGGCAAUGGAAAGUGUACCGUUGGAACUGGUCCGCACAAUGUGAGAGAUACUUCAACAAGAGUUAUAUUAGAUGCUUGGGGAGACAACAUAAGCGGUCAGAUAUGUUCGCGACUCUGCUUUUUUUACAUUUACUAUUUGCAUCAAACACUGUUACAUUGGAUCCAUAUUUUAUACGUUAGAUACUAU